rnacentral:rRNA from 1 species
UACGUAGGGUGCAAGCGUUGUCCGGAAUUAUUGGGCGUAAAGGGCUCGUAGGCGGUCCAUCGCGUCGGGAGUGAAAAGCUGGGGCUUAACCCCAGUCCUGCUUCCGAUACGGGUGGACUAGAGGUAGGUAGGGGAGAACGGAAUUCCUGGUGUAGCGGUGAAAUGCGCAGAUAUCAGGAGGAACACCGGUGGCGAAGGCGGGUCUCUGGGCAGUAACUGACGCUGAGGAGCGAAAGCGUGGGGAGCGAACAGG